rnacentral:tRNA from 1 species
AAGGCUUUAUCUUAAUAAAAGAAUUUGAGUUGCAUUCAGAAGAUGUGGGUCAAUAUCCCGCAGGCCUUA